rnacentral:siRNA from 1 species
UGCAGCUGCAAUGUGGACAUGCU